rnacentral:rRNA from 1 species
CCUACGGGAGGCAGCAGUGAGGAAUAUUGGUCAAUGGGCGGAAGCCUGAACCAGCCAAGCCGCGUGCGGGAUGAAGGCCCUACGGGUUGUAAACCGCUUUUGCACGGGGAUAACACCCUCCACGUGUGUAUGUCUGCAGGUAUCGUCCGAAUAAGGCCCGGCUAAUUCCGUGCCAGCAGCCGCGGUAAUACGGAGGGCCCGAGCGUUAUCCGGUUUCAUUGGGUUUAAAGGGGGCGUAGGGGGGCGUUCAAGUCAGAGGUAAAAUCCCGGGGCUCAACCCCGAGCCGCCGUUGAUACUGGACGGCUUGAGAGUAGUAGAGGCAGGCGGAAUUCAUGGUGUAGCGGUGAAAUGCAUAGAGAUCA